rnacentral:lncRNA from 1 species
UUUCCAAAUCACCUUUUUUUUAUUUCUCCUCUCUACGACUUUUUCAUCUUCUUCGUUUCUCUCUGUCUCGAGUCAACAAUCCGACAAACACAAAGCUUUCAAUCUCUUUUCUUCUUUUUUUUUCUCUCUUUUCUCGAUUCCAUCGAUACUCAUUCAUCUUUUUCAUCUUCCCUCUUCACUCGUUUCUAUCGAUCCAAAGAUCCGUCCUCUCCCUUCUUCUUCGUGAGAAAUUCGCAGUGAAAUCGAGAAAUCCGCCGUGAGAAAUCCGCCGUGAGAACUCCGCCGUGUCUUCUCUUUGUAAGAUUUCAUUUGUUUGAUCCCUAAUUUUGUUUUAUUGUGUUGGGUUUAAUUAGGAUUUGAUUUCUUCCAAUUUAUUCUUCUAUGUGAGGGUUUGAUAUGUAAUUCUCUUUGAUUUUGUUUGAAACAAAUGCAUUUUGAAUGGAAUUUCGAUUACAAUUAGGAUUUUUUAUGAUUACAGUUCGGAUUUUAAGAUUACUAAUAGGAUUUGAAUUACAAUUCGGGUUUGAAAUUCGGACGACAUGUAGCUACUUUUUCUUGUUUUUAUUUGGAGAUAUUGAGUGAAAGUUGUAACUUUGUUUGUAAACUCUUCUUAAAAUGAUUGAUUUCUCUUGGUCAAUUUUGGAAGAAAUCUGGUUUCAAGUAAGUUAAUAAGGAGUGGAUUGCAGACAUAGAUGAAAUUUUUUGUACGUAUAUAUUAGCCUAUAACAUUUGUUUCUCUAUUACGAGAGGAGGAAAAGGAAAAGGAGACUGAGACUGAGACUGAGAAGGAGAAGGAGAAAGAGAAGGAUAAGGAGAAGAAGAAGCAGAAGAAGACUUGGUGUGUUCAGAUGUGUUUUGGUUUCUAAUGUUAUGUAUGAAUCUAAGUGUUUAGGUACAACUGGUACACUUAUGUACAACUAUGUAUCUGGGUUUGUAUGAAUCUAAGUUUUUUUGACAGAAAAAUCACCAAAAAACUAUGAGUCAAAGUGUUUUGAUCAAAAAAUUCACAACAACACUAUGAAUCUACUAAGUAU